GCCGGGAUAGCUCAUU
rnacentral:tRNA from 5 species